rnacentral:rRNA from 1 species
AACGAACGCUGGCGGUAUGCUUAACGCAUGCAAGUCGAACGAGUAUGGCCUAGCUUGCUAGGACCCAGCUAGUGGCAGACGGGUGAGUAACGCGUGGGAACCUACCUAGUAGUACGGAAUAGCAGUUGGAAACGACUAUUAAUACCGUAUACGCUCUCAGGAGGAAAGAUUCAUCGCUAUUAGAUGGGCCCGCGUUAGAUUAGCUUGUUGGUAGGGUAAUGGCCUACCAAGGCGACGAUCUAUAACUGGUUUGAGAGGAUGAUCAGUCACACUGGAACUGAGACACGGUCCAG